GGGUCAGUCCUGAACUUCUACAGGUACCUGCUCUCCAGCAUUCUGGUUUUCGUAUCGAUUCGAGCUCGCUGGCGAUUGAGAAGAGACCAAUCGAUUCCGUGCUCCGUCAGAAGCAGUCGCACUCUCGAACACUCAAGAAGUCAUGUCGACCCCGCUGCGAGAGUUCAGGAGCCGGCUUGCGGCUCAGUUCGGUGGCGCUGCGCCCACUAAGGAAACCCACGAUAUAUCCGCGGGGAUACCGGUGGAGGAGCGACCGGAUCCACUUCCCUUCAAAUUCGAGUAUGAGUCUCUCCGUGGCGGUCAGUUCCUACCCUUCGGUGCUGUGAGCGUGAGUACAACCGAAACCGUCCCCGAUCCGAGGCUCGCGCCGGGUUACGAGCGCUCUCUGAAGUUGAAGAAUAAACUCGGCUGAGCCUUGUGAGGAACGGACCGAUUUUACCGCCUGAGGACGAAUAAUUUUAAUCUCGGAGCCAUCUCGCUCACACAAACGUUUCAGUAGAUCAGUUUGAGCUGUGUUGGAAUGCUCCGCGCUGGGGCUUGUUUUGAGGUUUAAAUAAAAAGUGACGUAAACACAA